rnacentral:rRNA from 1 species
AUUGAACGCUGGCGGCAGGCCUAACACAUGCAAGUCGAGCGAGCCGCAGAGGUGUGUGUAAUGUAUGGGGAUCUGCCCGGUAGAGGGGUAUAACUUCUGGAAACGGUCGCUAAUCCCGCAUACUAGCGGAUGCACCCAUAUGGGAUUAGCUUGUAGGUGGGGUAAAGGCUCACCUAGGCGACGCUCUCUAGCGGUGCUGAGAGGAUGAGCAGCCACACUGGAACUGAGACACGGCCCAGACUCCUACGGGAGGCAGCAGUGGGGAAUAUUGCACAAUGGGCGCAAGCCUGAUGCAGCCAUGCCGCGUGUAUGAAGAAGGCCUUAGGGUUGUAAAGUACUUUCAGCGGGGAGGCGUUACCCGCAGAAGAAGCACCGGCUAACUCCGUGCCAGCAGCCGCGGUAAUUC